rnacentral:lncRNA from 1 species
GUCUCUGGAUCAGACAAGAAAAUGUUGAAGCAGAAGCAAAUUUCAUUUCAAACAAGCUUUAAAGAUUUCCGUUCCAACUUUUAACUUCCAAUUUUCGUUCCAACUUUCAACUUUCGUUCCUCCUUAUUCAGAAAUGAUUUCGUUCCAACUUCCAACGAAUCCUAGGCAAAAAUAAUUUCGUUCAUAAGCAUUAAAGAAGCAGGAACAAAUUGCGCAAAAGCUUAAUGCGAUUUUUGGGUUCUAAGUUCAAUCCACGAAGGUUUCCAACAGAAUAUUAUACGGAGUUUUCCCUACUUCAGGUAUGUUUAGGCCAUCCCUUCUUUCUUUUGGCAUGGUCCAAAUUAUACUGAAGAAACGAGCAAAACCCAUAGUCUCUAUAAAUUAAUCUAUUCAUAGAAAUAGUAGGGGUGUCUAUAUUCUUGAUUCCCCAUAAAAAAUAUUAUUAUCUUCUGUUCAUGGUUCUCAGAAUAAUACAUAGUUAAAAAAGUUUAUCCAGAAGGAAUAUUGAUAUUAUUAUGUAUUUUUCAUGCAUUUCACUCAUUUAUAUAUGUGCAUUGACCCAUGACCAGAUGGCGUUAUAUACGCGUAUAUAUGUAAAUACAUGUAUAUGGGAUAUGGGAAAAGAUUACGGCGUUAUAUACGUACCACCACCUGAUCAGCUGGUAUAUGUUGAUGAUGUUGCCCACAGUGGCCGAGACGAUAUGAUGGGAUGCCCUCAGUGGCUUGAUGAUAUAAUGUACACCCAUACCUAUGCAUGGCAUGACAUUUAUACGCACGUGCAUGACAUUAUAAAUAUUUUAGAAUUUAUAAAGUUAUUCAGAUUUAAAGACAUGUUUCUAUAUUCCAUGUUUCAUCUAUGUCUUUUACAUAUUAAUUUACAUGCCUUACAUACUCAGUACAUUUUUAGUACUGACGCCCUAUUUCACGGGGACUCUGUUUCAUGCCCGCAAGUGCAGGUAGGCAAGCUGACGGUCCCCCUUCUUACGAUCCCUAAUCAGUGAGAGUUGGCGUGCUCCACUUGAUCCAGAGCUGCUUUUGAUCUUGGUACAAUACGGUUG